rnacentral:RNase_P_RNA from 2 species
GAAGCCAGCUAGGUCGUCGCUGGUGCAUAAGCCGAAAGGCUGCACUGGAGGAACGUCCGGACUGCAUAGGAUAGCGUAGCAGGUAACACCUGCGCACCGACCGCCUGCAAGGGCCUAAGGUGACGAUUAGAGCAACAGAGACGAGCCGCUUAAGUGCGGGUGAAACGGGCAAUCUCUACGCGCAGCAAUACCAAAUAGGCCAACACGCACAACCCUGUGUUGUGCAAGCUGUGAUCCGCAGAUUGUUGGCGGGUAGGUAGCACCGAGCCGCUUGGGCGACCAGCGGCCCAGAUGAAUGGCGACCAGGGUGGUGUUACAACCACUUCACAAAAUCCGGCGUAUCGGCUGGCUUCACAC